rnacentral:misc_RNA from 1 species
GCGAGAAUCAUUUAGAACCGUGAUUUCAAAUACCAUGUCGGGAGCUAACAAGUCGUGUGAAACCAACAUGGCAAGCUGUAUUAGUGAUCCGAGGGGAAAGUUUCAGGUAUUAUUUUCUGUUCUUUAUCAUUGCUUCUGUUGUUUGUGCAUAUCUGGCAUCUGCUCUUUUGUAUUUUCAUGAGUGAACAAGUUUUAUAGAGACGGUCCUUUGUUAGAUUGUUGAGAAUGAAUUGGGC